CCUACGGGGGGCAGCAGUGAGGAAUAUUGGUCAAUGGGCGCGAGCCUGAACCAGCCAAGUAGCGUGAAGGAUGACUGCACUACGGGUUGUAAACUUCUUUUGUAAAGGAAUAAAGUCAGGCACGUGUGCCUUUUUGUGUGUACUUUAUGAAUAAGCAUCGGCUAACUCCGUGCCAGCAGCCGCGGUAAUACGGAGGAUCCGAGCGUUAUCCGGAUUUAUUGGGUUUAAAGGGAGCGGAGAUGGGUUGUUAAGUCAGGUGUUAAAGGUUGCGGCUCAACCGUAAAACUGCAAUUGAUACUGGCAGUCUUGAGUACAGUAGAGGUAUGCGGAAUGCGUGGUGUAGCGGUGAAAUGCUUAGAUAUCACGAAGAACUCCGAUUGCGAAGGCAGCAUACUAAACUGCCACUGACACUGAUGCACGAAAGUGUGGGUAUCAAACAGGAUUAGAUACCCGUGUAGUC
rnacentral:rRNA from 1 species